GACGUAGGGCGCGAGCGUGUCCGGAUUUAUUGGGCGUAAAGAGCUCGUAGGCGGUUUGUCGCGUCGUUCGUGAAAACUCACAGCUUAACUGUGAGCUUGCGGUCGAUACGGGCAGGCUAGAGUUCGGUAGGGGAGACUGGAAUUCCUGGUGUAGCGGUGAAAUGCGCAGAUAUCAGGAGGAACACCGGUGGCGAAGGCGGGUCUCUGGGCCGAUACUGACGCUGAGGAGCGAAAGCGUGGGGAGCGAACAGG
rnacentral:rRNA from 1 species